CAGCCGCCACGGUAAUACGUAGGUGGCGAGCGUUGUCCGGAAUUAUUGGGCGUAAAGGGAGCGCAGGCGGACAUAUAAGUCCAUCUUAAAAGUGCGGGGCUCAACCCCGUGAGGGGAUGGAAACUGUAUGCCUUGAGUGCAGGAGAGGAAAGCGGAAUUCCCAGUGUAGCGGUGAAAUGCGUAGAUAUUGGGAGGAACACCAGUGGCGAAGGCGGCUUUCUGGACUGUAACUGACGCUGAGGCUCGAAAGCCAGGGGAGCGAACGGGAUUAGAUACCCGCGUAGUCCCUGUCUCUUAUACA
rnacentral:rRNA from 1 species